GACGAACGCUGGCGGCGUGCUUAACACAUGCAAGUCGAACGAAGAGCGAUGGAAGCUUGCUUCUAUCAAUCUUAGUGGCGAACGGGUGAGUAACGCGUAAUCAACCUGCCCUUCAGAGGGGGACAACAGUUGGAAACGACUGCUAAUACCGCAUACGAUCUAAUCUCGGCAUCGAGGAAAGAUGAAAGGUGGCCUCUAGUUAUAAGCUAUCACUGAAGGAGGGGAUUGCGUCUGAUUAGCUAGUUGGAGGGGUAACGGCCCACCAAGGCGAGGAUCAGUAGCCGGUCUGAGAGGAUGAACGGCCACAUUGGGACUGAGACACGGCCCAGACUCCUACGGGUGGCAGCAGUGGGGAAUCUUCCGCAAUGGACGCAAGUCUGACGGAGCAACGCCGCGUGAGUGAUGACGGCCUUCGGGUUGUAAAGCUCUGUUAAUCGGGACGAAAGGCCUUCUUGCGAACAGUUAGAGGGAUUGACGGUACCGGAAUAGAAAGCCACGGCUAACUACGUG
rnacentral:rRNA from 1 species